AACCUCCGCAAUGUGAGAAAUCGCGACGGGGGGAUCCCAAGUGCCAUUCUUAACGGGAUGGCUUUUCAUUAGUGUAAAGAGCUUUUGGAAUAAGGGCUGGGCAAGACCGGUGCCAGCCGCCGCGGUAACACCGGCAGCUCUAGUGGUAGCAAUUUUUAUUGGGCCUAAAGCGUCCGUAGCCGGUUUAAUAAGUCUCUGGUGAAAUCCUGCAGCUUAACUGUGGGAAUUGCUGGAGAUACUAUUAGACUCGAGAUCGGGAGAGGUUAGAGGUACUCCCAGGGUAGAGGUGAAAUUCUGUAAUCCUGGGAGGACCGCCUGUUGCGAAGGCGUCUAACUGGAACGAUUCUGACGGUGAGGGACGAAAGUUAGGGGCGCGAACCGGAUUAGAUACCCGGGUAGUCCUAACUGUAAACGAUGCGGACUUGGUGUUGGGGUGGCUUUGAGCUGCUCCAGUGCCGAAGGGAAGCUGUAAAUCCGCCGCCUGGAGUACGGUCGCAAGACUGAAACUUAAAGGAAUU
rnacentral:rRNA from 1 species